rnacentral:lncRNA from 1 species
AGUAUGUGAUAUAUAAUUUAUUAUCUAAAUUUGGACACUUUUGUCUGGAAAGAAAAAGAAGAAAAGUAAAGAAAAACUGCUAGGAUGCUGGGACAAGAGGUGCACCACAUCCUGCUGGGGAAAGCAAACCAGAACAUCAGGUCAUCCUGGGUAGACACAACCUGAGCCAGUGAGCAACACUGCCCCCAUUCCAGCUGAUUUCUAGUGUAAUUUUCCAUCAUCUGCCUUUUUAAAUGUAGAAAGUCUUGAUUCAGGCUUGACUGGAAGUAUUAAAUGUCUACCUCACUUUUGAUAGGAAGAAGAUGAUUUUUCACCUAGUGGAGUCAUUGAACAGUGGUCUUCAAAUUGGGAUUAUUUCCAAGAAUGGGCAGACUAGAAUUGCAGUGCACAGAUACAAGAAUGUUGCCUGCUUUGGAGCCAAGACUGCCUUCCGGAUAAAGGGCCCACAGAGAGCUGAGAGCUGUGUAAUACCUCAAAGACUGAAGAAAAGAGUUAGACAGCCAUCUUUCCUUAGAGGAUUUUGCUGCAGACAGCUUGAACUACCAGAAGGUUAUAUACUGACCAUGGGUAGAGAAAGGAAGAAAUACAUCCUUCGGAAAGGACAAUGAAGAUCUUUACAGCAGGGUCUUGCCUCAUCACUGCCAUGACAGGGGGGUCCAAUGUGAGGAUACUGGUGUCUAUGCCAAGCAUCUCUUUUCCAACGUAGAUCUGAUUUCUUAACAUAGCCAACAGCAAGUCAACAUCAGCUUUGCAGAGAAAAGCAG